UCUGUGGAGAAUCUCUACAUGGCCCAGUAUGAGGAGAAGACAGGAAGCGGCCUUUCAUUACAGUAUAGAGGCUCACACAUGGGGAGCGAUGUCAGAACGACUCUUUCCUCCAGUCUGCAGGCAUCGCAGCCGUCCACUGGUCUGCUAGGCAAAUCCUCUCCCUUCAAACCACCUUGGGACCAGGAUUACUGAGAUUUUGAGAAGAACAUCGAUGGCUCAGAACAUUAGGAGGAGCUUUGAGUGUUUUCCAGGCAUGUUGAGCUCUGAUGAUUCUCAUAUGGAUAAUACAGACUUUUAACCGAGUGCAAACUUCACCACCUCAGCUUUAUAAU